rnacentral:misc_RNA from 1 species
UUCCGCGUUUGGUAUUUCUGGUAAAGCAGGGUUAUUAUUCAGUUCAAGUUCCACUUCUCGUCUAAUGGUUGCUAUAUCGAGUUUCUGGGAUAAGGUUGUUCCUUAGGAUUACACGCAUUAUUCUAUCUUUAGUAAUAUUAUCGGAUCCUAGGAUAUGGCAAAAUAUGACAUUGGAUUCCAAAAUAAAUGGCCCAGUGAAGCUUAAUAUGGAGCAGAAUUCAUCCUGUUUCUGUAUACUUUUUGACAGCCUCAAUGUCAAAACUUACUUUAAAUCUGAUGCCAAACCUGAGAGAAGUUCAAUUUAAGCAGCUUCAAUGCAUGACCAAUUUUGGAUCUUUUACAAAUCUUGUAGUCUGAAAUUUUUAAAGGCAAAUAGAAAAAUUGUAACUCCUGUAAA